rnacentral:rRNA from 1 species
GAUGAACGCUGGCGGCGUGCCUAAUACAUGCAAGUCGAGCGAACGGACGAGAAGCUUGCUUUUCUGAUGUUAGCGGCGGACGGGUGAGUAACACGUGGAUAACCUACCUAUAACACUGGGAUAACUUCGGGAAACCGGAGCUAAUACCGGAUAAUAUUUUGAACCGCAUGGUUCAAAAGUGAAAGACGGUCUUGCUGUCACUUGUAGAUGGAUCCGCGCUGCAUUAGCUAGUUGGUAAGGUAAUGGCUUACCAAGGCAACGAUGCAUAGCCGACCUGAGAGGGUGGUCGGCCACACUGGUACUGAGACACGGUCCAGACUCCUACGGGGGGCAGCAGUAGGGAAUCUUCCGGAACGGGGGACGGACUGAUGGAGCAACGCCGCGUGAGUGAUGAUGGUCUUCGGAUCGUAGAGCUCUGUUAUUAGGAGAGAACAUAUGUGUCAGUGACUGUGCACAUCUUGACGGUACCUAGUCAGAAAGCCACGGCUAACUACGUG